rnacentral:rRNA from 1 species
UACGGAGGGGGCAAGCGUUGUUCGGAAUUACUGGGCGUAAAGGGCUCGUAGGUGGCCAACUAAGUCGGACGUGAAAUCCCUCAGCUUAACUGGGGAACUGCGUCCGAUACUGGAUGGCUUGAGUUUGGGAGAGGGAUGCGGAAUUCCAGGUGUAGCGGUGAAAUGCGUAGAUAUCUGGAGGAACACCGGUGGCGAAGGCGGCAUCCUGGACCAACACUGACACUGAGGAGCGAAAGCCAGGGGAGCAAACGGG